GCUUCGGUGGCUUGGUGGUUAUAGCAUCCGCCUCAGAUGCGGGGGGUCACGGGUUCGAACCACGGCCGAGUCA